CAGUCGCACGGGAAUACGUAGGUGGCAAGCGUUGUCCGGAAUUAUUGGGCGUAAAGGGCUCGCAGGCGGUUUCUUAAGUCUGAUGUGAAAGCCCCCGGCUCAACCGGGGAGGGUCAUUGGAAACUGGGAAACUUGAGUGCAGAAGAGGAGAGUGGAAUUCCACGUAUAGCGGUGAAAUGCGUAGAGAUGUGGAGGAACACCAGUGGCGAAGGCGACUCUCUGGUCUGUAACUGACGCUGAGGAGCGAAAGCGUGGGGAGCGAACAGGAUUAGAUACCCCGGUAGUCCCUGUCUCUUAUACC
rnacentral:rRNA from 1 species